rnacentral:rRNA from 1 species
UACGGAGGGUGUAGGCGUUAUCCGGAUUCACUGGGUUUAAAGGGUGCGUAGGUGGGUCUGUAAGUCCGUGGUGAAAUCUCCGAGCUUAACUUGGAAACUGCCAUGGAUACUAUAGGUCUUGAAUACUGUGGAGGUCAGCGGAAUAUGUCAUGUAGCGGUGAAAUGCUUAGAUAUGACAUAGAACACCAAUUGCGAAGGCAGCUGGCUACACAAAUAUUGACACUGAGGCACGAAAGCGUGGGGAUCAAACAGG